rnacentral:rRNA from 1 species
UACGGAGGAUGCAAGCGUUAUCCGGAUUCAUUGGGUUUAAAGGGUGCGUAGGCGGCUUCUUAAGUCAGCGGUGAAACUCACGGGCUCAACCCGUGACCUGCCGUUGAUACUGGGGGGCUUGAAUACGGAUGAAGCGGGAGGAAUGUAUGGUGUAGCGGUGAAAUGCAUAGAUAUCAUACAGAAGGCCUAAUGCGAAGGCAUCCCGCUAAUCCGUCAUUGACGCUGAGGCACGAAAGCGUGGGGAUCAAACAGG